GGUGAUUCUCUGGUGAUGCACCCUGGAAUCUGGCUUCCUCCUCUCUGGUUCUGGGUGUGUCACUCAAAAAUCACA
rfam:Myotis davidii contig160717, whole genome shotgun sequence.